UUCGAAUUUAUGGAAAGAAAAGCCGGAGUGUGACGAAUCAUGAACGAGCCGUCUGAGUGUUGAUGCAGGCGUGUCUGUUUGCGAUCGCCGUAUUUGAGCGUCUGUUUUUCCUCCUCCUCCUCCUCGUCUUCCUGAUCAUGUUUCUUCUCCUCCAACUCCUCUGAUGCUGUCUCUUACAAGUUCACAUGUUGUCACACCUCCUGGCAAAUUUAAUUCUCAUCUGUCACAGCUUCUCUCCUUCCUCCAAAAGACCCCGAGGCCAUUACUGGAGGGAGAGAGGAACAGAGGAAAUUGCUCCAAGUGUGAAUGCGGCGAUUGACUUUAUGGUUCCCUGUGAGUAUUACGAGGCUGAGCGACCUCUUUGUCCUUCGGAGCGCUCUUUCCGGCCAAACUGGUGUCAACGCGAAGAGACGAAUGGUCGAAUUCCAUUUGUCGGCGGCGUAAUGUCGCGUUAAUGAACAGAAACCGUUUCCACCCAAAUUAAAAUUCAUUUGCAGGCGGCUCCAGUGCAUCUGGCGGCUACAUUUCCAUGAGCCAGACGGGGCUCAGGGGGCAGCACUUGAGGCGUUACUGUGCUUGUAAUAACUGAAUUAAAAUUUUAUUAGAAGCAGCUAAUUUCAAGUGAAGAAAAUUACUCUGACAAGGCGCACGGUUUCGGGGACACAGAGCGGAGGCGAGGCGGACGCAUUAGAGAGUCCUUUCACUCUUCACGCUUCCGUAUGUGACAGAUUCAUGCUGCCGAACAUGAAAUGAGUUCCUGAAGGUUACGCCGCAUGUGUGUGAGUGUGUGACGGCGGGUUUUUAGCGUCUGAUUGAAUGCGUGUGAUCAAAAUGGUUCCAUGAAGGAUUAAUGAGUUUAUGAGGCGCAUGAAACUCCGCUAAGUGGGUCGUGUUCAAACACGGCGCCUAAAGAUUCACACACGGAAACAUACGUUGAGGGUUAACCCUUCAUCUACCGGUAAUUAUGACAAACCGAGCGGUGAAUGAAAACCCGAGCCUCAGAGCAGAAUCGGCGCGGCCUCCGCUCCCUCGUAGUUUGACUUUUACAGCUCAUUUAUUGUUCGGUUCAGACUCUCUGUGUCCUCAAUUCCUGCCACAGCGGGCGGCUGCUUUCAUCAAACAAGCUCUAAUCAACUCGCUCCGCGCUCUGAACCAAAUGGCAAAACAUAAAGUUUGCUUCCAGUCUGUGAAGAAAGUUGAACAUUUUCUCGCAGGAAAAGAAAAAUAAAUGUUUUUUUUUUCCACCCUAGAGGAGCUGAUUCACGAGAAAACAGACCGAAAAAGAGGAAGGAGGAGGAAAGUGAGAAAAACAUUCAAACACAUCAGAGACUUACGCUGAUGAAGGAUUAAUCCGCCGCUGAAAGUAGACCCCAAAAAUGUCAACUCCAGCAACUUAAAGGUGUUGUAGUCAGGAUCUGAGGAAGUUCCAGUUUUUAGGAGACAUCUUGAAUGUAAACUCUACCCCCCCAACCAGUUUUCCCCUCAGCUCCUCCUCUCCCCUCAAGCCCCGCCCACAAACAGACGCUCCUGCUCGCUCGUAUCGUUCCAAUUAAAUUCAGAUCUAAUGCAGAUAAAUACUUCAGAUCAUUACAAAUGGGGCCCAGUCAAGGUGAAAGUCAAAAGCAUUGGUGCUACUGUAGAUGCCAACAGACUACCAGCAAACACAAUGUUUGCAGGACUUCUACAACGAGGAUAAAGUGACAUAGUCCAGGACCCGAGGGAGGACAGUUUAGCGAUGGCGCUACAACACGCUACAGCAGGUCCGUUUGACAAGAAACACUUCUGUUACAGACACUUGUCUUACUUUGUUAAAGCGGUUUACCUGUCCAGCAGAAAGGUUACAGGGUCACCAAGAUCCCCAAGCGUCCCCCAUGGUUUAUGUUGACCCGGCUUUUUAGCUCUUGUCCGGUCUACCUCCGUUUUAAGCGCCCGUUAUUCCUCCAGAGUCUCCGGUAUUUACCUCUUCUCUGGAGUUCAGGUCCAUCAGACAUGAUAGAAAAGUGGAGAAGCUCAGAAAUGAAGGUGUUCUUUGAGCGGAGGUGAGCUGAAGUCGUAGCUACAGUCACAGAUUCUCACUUCAUCUCCUCUCUGCUCACAGGAAUCAGUGUUACACCAAGCUGUCUGUCAGUGUCUCUGUUCUGUCAGGCCUCACAGGAGGAAGAGGAGGAGGAGGAGGAGCGGCUCAGUUUCAGAUGAAGAACAGUUUAAAAGAAGACGUACCUUCGACUAGAAAGAUAUCCUUUUUUUAUUCAGGGGAGUGAGUCAGAAUCAGAUCUAGCAGGAGAAUAUUUGGAGGAUUAUUUCUGUCUGAAUUCAGUCAGACUGACACUUCAAACCUCAGCGCUCUGAAUUCUAACGCUAAAGUUUAAAGUCUGUUUUUGUGAAAGAAAAAAACAAUCAAACUUUACGGAGAAAUUCCAGGUAACGUUAAAGCGAAGAAACAGAGUGAGAACCUGAAUGAAGACAGCAGAGUCGAAACGGGCGAAGUUUUAAGACAAAACAAUUCAGAUCUGUUUGUUUAUAGUGUUUUCUGUUUGAGCCAUGUUUUCAUCUUGUUAUCCAAAUUUAUGGGAAUAAAUGUUCAUUAACAACCAUUUUUUUUCCAUGGCGAAGACAAGACGAUUAGCUAAACUGACCCCUAACUUCCACCGCAUCCAGA